rnacentral:lncRNA from 1 species
GAACAGAACCAGGUCAACUGCCUUCCAAUCUUUAGUUUGCCUAUCAAGGAGGAGAAGCGUGGUGAAGAAUGGGGAAGCAGGCAGUAUCUGUACAGUUCAGAAGAACACUACACUCGGUCAGGACCGAGAGUGGCUAAGGCGUGAGGACAAGCUGCCUCUGUGCUGAGGGCCCUUUGUGCAACAAAAGGACAGUCCACCGUGACAGUGAACAGCUUUUGCAGCUCCGGUCAGCAGGGGGAAGGAUCCAACGAGGUCAGCACACCUCCUGCCAAGCAGCCUGCUUGGGUGUGUCUCUACAGAGUCUCUGUAGAGACUCACCCGAGGACGCCACAGCCAUGCUGAACAGCACCAGGGCAAGCACAAAUGCUUGGUACUGUCAGCUGAACGACUGUCUGCAGUGGCCUCUUAGCUCCCUGGGAAACCCUGGGAGCUCAGUUCUCUUUUGGGCUUUGUGGAGAGAGUGUUCGCUGAUGUCCCUUGCCCUCCUUUGCAUUAAAUGAAGCUGCUGCUGGAUCUUCCUGAGCUCUUUUUCCAGGCUCGGCAUUUCCCGAUCAUCACCUGUCAGCCUGGAGACAGCAGGUAAGGGGGAGAGCACCGCUGUCUUAUCACACACCGUGGGCCUGUGCAGCAGGGGACGAGCCUCACUCUGCGUGACGAUGGGGUAACCAAGACACGGACACAGGAAAUACCUGUCAGGAAUUGCACAUAGCUCUCUAUGCACCAAGCAUUAACACUCGGGGUUCUUCCUUGUGCUGCCCACUCCCCUGUCCCUGGGCAGAAAAAUCCCCUGGGUCCUUCCUAAGGAAGCAUGCUCAAAUCAGAGCUCUACAGAGACUCAGGCAAGGACACCACAGCCACAGGAGCAGCACCAGGUCAACUAUCUUGCAAACAGUAGUUUGCAACAACAACACAGCCAUUUCCAUUUCUGUCCUUCCACGGGGGCAGCUGACAUUGAUGCUGGUGCCUUCUGUGAUCAGUCAGGUUCGGCUUGGAGACUUCUCCCUCUGGCUCGAAUCUCAGCUCAGAAACUCUCUCUGUCCAGAACAGUAUUGUAGAGAGCUUGAUAAGCACGAGCUGCGCCCCAAAUAAGCCCUCCUCAGGUCUACCUAAGCCGCACCACCCCUGACUUAAAUACUUGCUUCGUUUCUCGGGGUCCCACAGGUGUUCAAGAGUAAAAUCCCAUGGCACCGGGGGUCCCCACGCUUCUUAGAUCUUUCCUAAACCUCCCGAUAUUCCCUGCCACUCAGCAUUCUCUGGUUCUGGGGAAGGCUUCCUGCAGAUAAGGUCAAUGAGGAGGAUUACAUUCAGGGGGAUGAAGAACAUGACUGCUGCCUGGUGACUAUCACCCUCACGUCUGUCUCGCAGAGAGUUACACCUCGAGUCUGUCUCCUGCUCACACUCUGAUACUCCCUAACCUCUCAACCUCCUCCUGGAGUGCAGCCACCACACUGAGCAGAUCAUCCACCUGCUCGCACCUCACGCACCUGCAGUUCCCGCCUCCCUUCUCCGGCACCAACAGACUCAGGCACUCGCUGCAGCCGCAGACUUGACCUGCCACUUCUUCAGGCAGGGACUCUCAAUCACCACCGUAUUUCUC